GAAACCUGAAGUUAUCCUGAGAACAAACGUCACUGCCAUGGAAACAUCUCCUCCACGUUCCUGAUGGUGCACUGGUUUUCCUUCCUGUCUGGCCAACCAGCCUCUGGAGAAUGGCCAUCCAUCUUAUAGGCUCACUUUGUAUUCUGUAAACUUUCAGUUUGAAAAUAAACGCGUUGUUUCCCUGUCAAA